GAUGAACGCUGGCGGCGUGCCUAAUACAUGCAAGUCGAGCGAACGGACGCGAAGCUUGCUUCUCUGAUGUUAGCGGCGGACGGGUGAGUAACACGUGUAUAACCUACCUAUAAGACUGGUAAAACUUCGGGAAACCGGAGCUAAUACCGGAUAAUAUUUUGAACCGCGUGGUUCAUAAGUGAAUGUCGGUCUUUCUGUCACUUCUAGAUGGAUCCCCGCUGCAUUAGCUAGUUGGUAAGGUAACGGCUUACCAAGGCAACGAUGCAUAGCCGACCUGAGAGGGUGAUCGGCCACACGGGAACUGAGACACGGACCAGACGCCUACGGGACGCAGCAGUAUGGAAUCGUCCGCAAUAGGCGAAAGCCUGACGGAGCAACGCCGCGUGAGUGAUGAAGGUCUUCGGAGCGUGAAACUCGGUUAUUAGGGAAGAACAUAUGUGUAAGUAACUGUGCACAGCGUGACGGUACCGAAUCAGAAAGCCACGGCUAACUACGUG
rnacentral:rRNA from 1 species